rnacentral:rRNA from 1 species
CAGCACCGCGGUAAUACGAAGGGUGCAAGCGUUACUCGGAAUUACUGGGCGUAAAGCGUGCGUAGGUGGUGGUUUAAGUCCGUUGUGAAAGCCCUGGGCUCAACCUGGGAAUUGCAGUGGAUACUGGGUCACUAGAGUGUGGUAGAGGAUAGUGGAAUUUCCGGUGUAGCAGUGAAAUGCGUAGAGAUCGGAAGGAACAUCUGUGGCGAAGGCGACUAUCUGGGCCAACACUGACACUGAGGCACGAAAGCGUGGGGAGCAAACAGGAUUAGAUACCCCGGUAGUCCCUGUCUCUUAUACA